rnacentral:rRNA from 1 species
GAUCCUGGCUCAGGACGAACGCUAGCGGCAGGCCUAAUACAUGCAAGUCGAGGGGCAGCAUGGUCUUCGGACUGAUGGCGACCGGCGCACGGGUGCGUAACACGUAUGCAACUUACCUUUGAGAGGGGAAUAGCCUGUGGAAACGCAGAUUAAUACCCCAUAUAUUUCUGAUACGAAUGUAUCGGGGAUGAAAGCUCAGGCGCUUGAAGAUGAGCAUGCGCCCCAUUAGCUUGUUGGUAAGGUAACGGCUUACCAAGGCUACGAUGGGUAGCGGGUCUGAGAGGAUGAUCCGCCACACGGGCACUGAGAUACGGGCCCGACUCCUACGGGAGGCAGCAGUAGGGAAUAUUGGUCAAUGGACGCAAGUCUGAACCAGCCAUCCCGCGUGCAGGACGAAGGCCCUCUGGGUUGUAAACUGCUUUUAGCGGGGACUAAUAAGAUGCUACAGGCAUCGAUGCAGGUACCCGAAGAAUAAGCACCGCUAACUACGUGCCACCGCCGCGGUAAUACUUAGGUGCAGCGUUGUCCGGAUUUUUGGUUUAAGGGUGCCCAGGCGCUUAUUAGUCAGUAGUAAAAACGUACGGCUCAACCGUAUAGGAGCUAUUAAAACUGAUAAGCUUGAGUGUGUCUGAGGGAGUUAGAAUGCGUGGUGUAGCGGUGAAAUGCAUAGAUAUCACGCAGAAUACCGAUUGCGAAGGCAGACUUCUAAGACAUAACUGACGCUGAGGCACGAAAGCGUGGGGAGCGAACAGGAUUAGAUACCCUGGUAGUCCACGCUGUAAACGAUGAUCACUAGGUGUUCGGUUUUCGGACUGAGUGCCCAAGCGAAAGCGAUAAGUGAUCCACCUGGGGAGUACGUUCGCAAGAAUGAAACUCAAAGGAAUUGACGGGGGCCCGCACAAGCGGUGGAGCAUGUGGUUUAAUUCGAUGAUACGCGAGGAACCUUACCUGGGCUAGAAUGCCUCUGCUAUCUGCUGAAAGGUGGAGUUCCUUCGGGACAGAGUGCAAGGUGCUGCAUGGUUGUCGUCAGCUCGUGCCGUGAGAUGUUGGGUUAAGUCCCGCAACGAACGCAACCCCUAUUCGUUAGUUGCCAGCAUUUAUGUCGGGGACUCUAAAGAGACUGCCUGCGCAAGCAGUGAGGAAGGUGGGGACGACGUCAAAUCAUCAUGGCCCUUACGUCCAGGGCUACACACGUGCUACAAUGGAUGGUACAACGGGUUGCGAACCUGCGAAGGUAAGCUAAUCUCUAAAAGCCAUUCUCAGUUCGGAUUGGAGUCUGCAACUCGACUCCAUGAAGCCGGAAUCGCUAGUAAUCGCGUAUCAGCUACGACGCGGUGAAUACGUUCCCGGGCCUUGUACACACCGCCCGUCAAGCCAUGGAAGCCGGGGGUACCUAACGUCGGGAUAAUCGCCUAGGGUGAAAUUGGUAACUGGGGCUAAGUCGUAACAAGGUAGCCGUACCGGAAGGUGUGGAUGGAUCACCU